rfam:Gossypium arboreum cultivar AKA8401 contig_626_5, whole genome shotgun sequence.
UUUUAAAAAUUUCAUCUAUUUGUACUGUUAAGAACUGUUGUGCAUGAUGGAAUAACCAAACAGUGAUAUGCGGUGUGCCAAAUGUAUGUCAUGCUGAAGUACACAAACCAAAUUUUAACUGUAUAAAUGGAUGGAAUUUUUAACA